rnacentral:lncRNA from 1 species
UCGGUCGCAUCUUCGGACGAAGUCCACAGCAUCCUUCUGGAGUGUCGGCCAAUAGUAUCCUUGGCGCAAAAUUUUAUGGGCCAAUGCUCGUCCUCCCAGAUGAUUUCCGCAAAUCCCUUCAUGGACUUCGCGCAUUGCAUAAUCAGCCUCUGUUGGGCGGAGACAUCUGAGGAGGGGAGAGGUGAAAGAUCUCCGAUAGAGCUUUCUCUCAUG